rnacentral:tRNA from 1 species
GUUAUUAUAUUUAAAUUAUAAAAUUUAAUUUGCGUUUAAAAGUUGAAG